rnacentral:rRNA from 1 species
AACGAACGUUAGCGGCGCGCCUAACACAUGCAAGUCGAGCGAGAAGGAAGCAAUUCCUGUAAAGCGGCGCACGGGUGAGUAACACGUAGGUAAUCUGCCUCGAGGUGGUGGAUAACCUUCCGAAAGGAGGGCUAAUACAGCAUGAGACCACGUUCCCGAAAGGGGAUGAGGUUAAAGCGGGCCUCUCUACAGAAGCUCGCGCCAUGAGAUGAGCCUGCGGCCCAUCAGGUAGUUGGUAGGGUAACGGCCUACCAAGCCGAAGACGGGUAGCUGGUCUGAGAGGAUGAUCAGCCACACUGGAACUGAGAUACGGUCCAGACUCCUACGGGAGGCUG